ACCUCUGCCACCACCGUCGCUGG
rnacentral:siRNA from 1 species